rnacentral:rRNA from 1 species
GAUGAACGCUGGCGGCGUGCCUAAUACAUGCAAGUCGAGCGAACAGACGAGGAGCUUGCCCCUCUGACGUUAGCGGCGGACGGGUGAGUAACACGUGGAUAACCUACCUAUAAGACUGGGAUAACUUCGGGAAACCGGAGCUAAUACCGGAUAAUAUAUUGAACCGCAUGGUUCAAUAGUGAAAGACGGUUUUGCUGUCACUUAUAGAUGGAUCCGCGCCGCAUUAGCUAGUUGGUAAGGUAACGGCUUACCAAGGCAACGAUGCGUAGCCGACCUGAGAGGGUGAUCGGCCACACUGGAACUGAGACACGGUCCAGACUCCUACGGGAGGCAGCAGUAGGGAAUCUUCCGAAAUGGGCGAAAGCUUGACGGAGCAACGCCGCGUGAGUGAUGAAGGUCUUCGGAUCGUAAAACUCUGUUAUUAGGGAAGAACAAAUGUGUAAGUAACGAUGCACGUCUGGACGGUACCUAAGCAGAAAGCCACGGCUAACUACGU